rnacentral:lncRNA from 1 species
GUUCAAAGUCCACAUAGCCUGUGGUGGUGCAGCUGAGAUCUGGGGUGUGGGGAAUUGCCAUAGGACUGAGACUGGAGAGCCUGGCUGAGCAAGGAAGAGGACCCAGCCCCUCCCUCCCCACUGCUGAUAUAACAGCAUGAAAUUAAACCUAUUCCAGUCUGUGACAUCUGAUCCCUUUGACAUGACAUAGUACAACCUGUAGAGCCAGAGGUGGGGGCCAGGAAGCCCUGUUCUAGUCUCUCUGCACAACCUUGAGCCAUCUCAUCAUCUGCACAUCUGCCUGAACCUCAGUCUCCCACUCUGGACGUUGUCGGGGUGAUGGAGCAAGCAUUCAGUUAUUCUCUGCUGGAUUCUGAUGUGGUCUAAAGUCCACACUUUGUUGUGAAACACCGCAAUCUGUGAUGUACAGAACCUAUUACUGCGGCCACCCAGGAAUGCUGGGGGCAGGCCUUUUGAGAAGGUGAAUCAGCGUGUGUUAGCUCAGGGCAGAGGGCCUGGCGGUGAGACGUGAGAACAGCCAAUGUCAUGGCGGUGGGGGAGUGGACGUGAGCCAUCUGGGGCCCAGCAAACAGCAUGUUGAAAAAAACGAGGAACUCAAAGGCAGAUGAGCCUACCACGCUGGGAACAGUUGGGAGUACAUUGCUCAAGCCCCGGCCAGUUUUAUGUCACUGCUGGUGUGAAGCAGUGAACAGUGACCCAGCAUGCAUCCAGGUGGCGGGACAGAGUCAGACUCUCCAGGGCAGAGAGACUCUAAAACUGACGGCCAGGUCUUGCUCAGACUACGGGCCUGAGGGAAGAUCCAAGACUGAAACAGGGCUUGGAAUGGAGGGGGUGGAGUUGAGGAGAUCACAGAGGACCUAGGAGUGUGUGUAUCGGAGAGAGAUAGGAAACCACUGACCGUUCAGCACACAUUCAGAAUUACUGCCUGUCCCAGGGAGGGACCCACAGCUCCGGCGCUCCGUUCAGCAUCUGGAAGAGCAUAGCUCGCUGUGAGCGGCCGCCCCAGAAGACUGUAUCCCACCCAGCCAGCUCUCCUGCCUGCUUGCCUCUGCCCCACACCAGGACACUUCAUACUGUCAGAACCACUGGGUGUGUGAGCUUGUGAGAGGGUGUGUGGGCACACAUGUCCCUGUGUGGGGUGUGGAGGUCAGAGGGCAACUUGGAGGAAUUGGUUCUCUCCUUCCACCACUGGGGCCCAGGAAUCAAGCCGAGGUUCCCAGACGUGGUAGCAGCCUCCCUUACCUGUUAAACCAGUGCUUCCCAGACUUCCUAAUGCUGUGACCUCAUGCUGUGCUGACCCCCGCCCA